rnacentral:rRNA from 1 species
UACAUAGGUGGCAAGCGUUAUCCGGAAUUACUGGGUGUAAAGGGAGCGCAGGCGGGAGAGCAAGUCGGCGGUGAAAUGUAUGGGCUUAACCCAUGAACUGCCGUUGAGACUGUCCUUCUUGAGUGGAGUAGAGGCAAGCGGAAUUCCGAGUGUAGCGGUGAAAUGCGUAGAUAUUCGGAGGAACACCAGUGGCGAAGGCGGCUUGCUGGGCUCUAACUGGCGCUGAGGCUCGAAAGUGUGGGGAGCAAAC